AUUGAACGCUGGCGGCAGGCCUAACACAUGCAAGUCGAACGAGUGGCGGACGGGUGAGUAAUGUAUGGGAAUCUAGCUUAUAGAGGGGGAUAACUACGGGAAACUGUAGCUAAUACCGCAUACCAUAGGAUGACCCCAUAUGGGAUUAGCUAGUUGGUGAGUUAAAGGCUCACCAAGCCGACGAUCUCUAGCUGGUCUGAGAGGAUGACCAGCCACACUGGGACUGAGACACGGCCCAGACGCCUACGGGAGGCAGCAGUGGGGAAUAUUGCGCAAUGGGGGCAACCCUGACGCAGCCAUGCCGCGUGUAUGAAGAAGGCCUUCGGGUUGUAAAGUACUUUCGGUAGCGAGGCGUUAACUACAGAAGAAGCACCGGCUAACUCCGUGCCAGCAGCCGCGGUAAUAC
rnacentral:rRNA from 1 species